rnacentral:rRNA from 1 species
CAACCUACGGGAGGCAGCAGUGGGGAAUAUUGGACAAUGGGGGCAACCCUGAUCCAGCCAUGCCGCGUGAGUGAUGAAGGCCCUAGGGUUGUAAAGCUCUUUUGUGCGGGAAGAUAAUGACGGUACCGCAAGAAUAAGCCCCGGCUAACUUCGUGCCAGCAGCCGCGGUAAUACGAAGGGGGCUAGCGUUGCUCGGAAUCACUGGGCGUAAAGGGUGCGUAGGCGGGUCUUUAAGUCAGGGGUGAAAUCCUGGAGCUCAACUCCAGAACUGCCUUUGAUACUGAAGAUCUUGAGUUCGGGAGAGGUGAGUGGAACUGCGAGUGUAGAGGUGAAAUUCGUAGAUAUUCGCAAGAACACCAGUGGCGAAGGCGGCUCACUGGCCCGAUACUGACGCUGAGGCACGAAAGCGUGGGGAGCAAACAGGAUUAGAUACCCCGGUAGUCAC